rnacentral:rRNA from 1 species
AGGCCACAUCGACGGGGAGGUUUGGCACCUCGAUGUCGGCUCAUCACAGCCUGGGGCUGUAGUAGGUCCCAAGGGUUGGGCUGUUCGCCCAUUAAAGUGGUACGCGAGCUGGGUUCAGAACGUCGUGAGACAGUUCGGUCCCUAUCCGUCGCAGGCGUAGGAAAUUUGAGAAGACCUGUCCUUAGUACGAGAGGACCGGGAUGGACGUACCUCUGGUGUACCAGUUGUCCUGCCAAGGGCAUGGCUGGGUAGCUAUGUACGGAAUGGAUAAGCGCUGAAAGCAUCUAAGCGCGAAGCCAACUUCAAGAUAAGAUUUCCCACCGCAAGGGUAAGACCCCAGAAAGACUAUCUGGUUGAUAGGUCGAAGGUGUAAGUUCAGCAAUGUAUUUAGCUUAUCGAUACUAAUAGGUCGAGGACUUGACCAAU